AAGAUUGAAGACGAGGAGCUGGUCUCCUACAUACUGACCGGAUUGGAUCUGGAUUAUGAUCCAGUGGUCCUCGGCGGUGGUGGCACGCGUCGAGC
rnacentral:snoRNA from 1 species